GGUGAGAUGGCCGAGCGGUCCAAGGCGCCAGACUAAGGUGAAAUGUUACGUGGAAAUUGAACCAUCUGGUCUCUUCGGGGGCGGGGGUUCGAAUCCCCCUCUCAUCA